UGUUGUCCACUGCCCUUUUUCUGUUGCACUACUGGACGCUGAGAUGAGCAGUGCAAUAUUAAAAGGGCAUUGGCUGAUG
rnacentral:pre_miRNA from 1 species